AACUAACGCUGGCGGCGUGCCUAACACAUGCAAGUCGUACGAGAAAGCCGGCUUCGGCUGGUGAGUAAAGUGGCGCACGGGUGAGUAACGCGUGGAUAAUCUGCCCUUAAGUGUGGAAUAACGUACCGAAAGGUGCGCUAAUACCGCAUAAUGCCUGGCAACACAAGUUGUCCGGCCAAAGAAGGCCUCUGUUUACAAGCUUUCGCUUCAGGAUGAGUCCGCGUACCAUUAGCUUGUUGGCGGGGUAAUGGCCUACCAAGGCUGCGAUGGUUAGCUGGUCUGAGAGGAUGAUCAGCCACACUGGAACUGAGACACGGUCCAGACUCCUACGGGAGGCAGCAGUGAGGAAUAUUGCGCAAUGGGGGCAACCCUGACGCAGCAACGCCGCGUGAGUGAGGAAGGUUUUCGGACUGUAAAGCUCUGUCGAGCGGGAAGAAGUGUACCAUGGCUAAUAUCCAUGAUAUUUGACGGUACCGCUAGAGG
rnacentral:rRNA from 1 species